UUCCCAGCCAGGUCACUCUCGUGGGACAAAGGCUGUCACAGCCACGUGCUAGGAGGGCCUCAUCUUCCUCACCCAGGACACGUGGACUAGAGCAGGAAUGCUUAGGGUCACAUAAUGACUGUCGAGGUAAAAGUGCGAUGCAAACCUGGGCCUGGUGACACCUACCUGAUCAAACAAAACCUGAGAACUAGGACUUUCUCGAUUAAACAAGGAAUCAACAAGAGGGUUUUUCCAUGGAAAAAGAAAGGAAGAGCCUAUGUGUGGCUAGCCAUAGAGAGAUGACUUCAGCUUGGAGAAUCAAUAGUGGGCAGGAGAGUGUGUUCAGCCUGCCCAGAAAUAAAGACGUCAUUGCGGUUAAAUGAGAUUCACCUGUGAGUGACUGGCAAAUCCAGUGCACCAAGAAUCACCACAUAAAAAUGACUUCUCAGAAUGUUUUUUGAGAAGAGUUUUAAAAAGGUUCAUGUUUUCUCAAAAAUGCAUCGAUUCUAUUUAGGUGACAGUCCGGAAAAGGCAACACUGGAGGGACAGAAAUCAGAUCAGUGGUUGCCAGAUUUGAGGGUGAGAGGAAAGGAUUGCCUACAGAGGACAGGAGGGAACUUUAGGGUGGUCAUGAAAACAUUCCAUAUCUUGGUUGCAAUGGUGAUUACAUGGUUGUAUAUAUUUGUCAGAACUCAAAACACCUCAGAAGGGUGUUACUCUAUUAAAAUUAUACCUUAAUAAAUUUCACUUUAAAAAUGUACAGAUUCCAACUUCUAGAUAACCUAAAUUUCCUUCUAUAAACAUGACCGUUUUAUUACAUACCUUUUCUCAUUUGACAUGUUUAUCAAGUUUUAGUUUUCAGAUUGGUUUGUAACAGAUUGCACCUAAAUUAUAGGAAGUUAGUAUUUCCAUAUGUAUUGAUUCUUCUGCCCAAUCAUUCCAUUUUAGGCAGCCAAUAUUUAUUGAGCCUUGUGCCAGAAAAAAAUCUUCCCUCAAUAUGACUAUGGGCCUUCCCUGGUGGUCUAGUGGUUAAGAAUCUCCCUGCCAAUGCAGGGAACACUGGUUUGAUCCCUGGUCCAGGAAGACCCCACAUGCCUCGGAGCAGCUAAGGCUUGUGCCACAACUACUGAGCCUGAAUGCUGCAACUACUGAAGCCCAUGCACCUAGAGCCUGUGUUCCACAACAAGAGAAGUCACUGCAAUGAGAAGCCCACCCCCAGAAGAAGUGCAGCCCCUGCUCGGGGGCAACUAGAGAAAGCCCACGCAGCAA